UAGCACGUUAUUGCAAUAUCCCAUAGUACAUACAUGUUAUUAAAACUUGAACUAAUGCAUUGUGAGUCUUAUAAAUUGCUUACAUACCUCACCGAUUUCCCACUGUCUGGAAAACGCUCGGUUUAGUUCCUGUCUCCGCCUCCCAAAAUGUCUAGUGUAAUCGGAUUGGUCAGAUGACUACUCAACUGUUAUUGGUCAGCUGGGUUCGGCUUGUGUUUGAAAGUUACGCCCCUGACUACGCGUGGGUUGACACAGAUUCUGACUGAGUCACAGCCUCAGAGGCAUCGUAAACAAGCGUUAUAUUUCUCUAUAAACGAUGGUGUCUGUACUGCCUUACCACUUCGAGCUCGAUCCAGAGAGUUCAGAAGGCCGUUACGAUAUAAACGAUCUCCGUCAAUGAAUGCGAUUGGAUUUAACUUUUUUAGGUGUCCUUAGCUCUGCCAGAAUGCUAAACGAAGACGAAAAUGUGUUGCAAAGACAUCCAAAAGGUUUUAAGGAGAAUGCAACAGGUUCCAGGGCCUCUUACCUGCCUGAUUCAUCAUCCAGGUUUUGCACAAAUUGUCUAAAUCCCUACACACAGAACAUUUAUUGUACCGACUAUAAGCCUUUGAGGCGCAGGACUAGAAUACGCUUGGAGCUUCCUGAUCGGAAUGUUGGCUUCCGACGACCCCUGCACUGAAGAUGGCAUGCAAUCACGUCCUCCUUUGAAGGUCUCUCAAACUGUGAUGCCAGGUCCAUUGGAAUCGGGGUUUCCUUCAGCUUAUC